UACGUAGGGGGCGAGCGUUGUCCGGAAUUAUUGGGCGUAAAGAGCUCGUAGGCGGCUUAGUAAGUCGGCGGUGAAAUACCGAGGCUCAACCUCGGCACUGCCGUCGAUACUGCUAUGGCUAGAGUUUGGUAGAGGAGAACGGAAUUCCCGGUGUAGCGGUGGAAUGCGCAGAUAUCGGGGGGAACACCCGUAGCGAAGGCGGUUCUCUGGGCCAAUACUGACGCUGAGGCGCGAAAGCGUGGGGAGCGAACAGG
rnacentral:rRNA from 1 species